rnacentral:lncRNA from 1 species
CUUGGCUGAAGUUUAAGCUGAUUAUUGGUAACAAGCAGUAUAUUUUCUUGAUCUUGUUCCCCUAAAAUUUGCUAGGUUAUAUUCUGAGGCUUGGAGAAAAAUAAAAAAGAAAGAAAAGAAAAGAAUGAAAGAAAGAAAGAAGAAAAUCUUUCUAGUUUUCUUUUAAAGAGUUCAAGAGGUCUGCCUGUCUGGACCAGUCAAUUCUGCAAGACACUGAUGUGCUGUUAUUGAUUAAUACACCACAGCAGAAGGACAACACUUCUUGGACAGCCUUAAAGUUACUCCAAAGUUGCUGUCAUUGACUGUUCUCAAAAGCACUUUCCCUGCAGAGAUCCAGGGGCAUGACUCCUUAAUGG